GGGUGAUGGGUGAUGGAACCUUCCCUUGUUCAUAUAGAAACUUUCUAAUAUUGUCCAUAGCCUAGCUAUGAUAUGAUGCUUCAUGUUGACCCACAGCACCCCUCUUCACAGCAUGCUUUCCCCCAAAUGAUCCGUGGCUUCCAAAUGAACCAGCAACACCUACAACCUUGGAAACAUAAAAAACACAAGCGUCAGCAGGAGGAAAAAAAGUGCUUUUUAAGCUGUGUUUGUUGCAUGCAUGAUCUGAGGAAGGAGUGAUGGUACCUUGGGGAUAAACCACCUGUUCAGUGGCUUGCAGAUGAGCACUACUUGUGGCAGCAUUUGCACACAGGAAAAUGGAGACAGCCAGCAGAAACCAUGUGAGGUUGUACGGCCUGUGGAUUGGACUUAACUCUGACUGACCUACCAUGCUAAGUCAUACAUGACAUAACUACGCACGAUUGCCUACCUACCCUGGUUCGCCCAUCCUACUCUCCGCAACACUUCUCAAGUCUGCGGGGUAUCCUGCUUUCCACAACACUUUGGGGCUAAUCGGCCUUCGAUCCAAGACUUUCUGAAUAGUGUGGUUACACUGUCGGUUAUCACCAACCUGGUCCGCCCAUCCUACUCUCCGCAACACUUCUCGGGUCGGCACACAGAGGUUACACUGUUUGAUCUGACUAGCUAGCUACGGUGCCGUGCUCUGCAAUCUGUUCUUGUCCAUCAGGGUUCUGAUAUUAUAUAAUAUUAUGUAUGAAUAUUACUAUUUUACCAUGAUUCUGUUUAGGUUGAAAUAACCAUGAUUCUGUUUAGGUUGAAAUAACAAUGAUUCUAUAUAAGUUGAAAUAUCAUGAUUCUAUAAUAUAUGUAAUAAUACUAUUUCAUGAUUUUGUGUAAAAUCUGUCAUAAUAAUAAUAAUAUCUCUGAAUAUCUGUUGUAAAUAUAUCUAGUCAUGGCAUUUGUGCCGAUUGAAUAUCACAAUACUAUUUAUAGUUUUUCUAAAAA